GACGAACGCUGGCGGCGUGCCUAAUACAUGCAAGUUGAGCGCUGAAGGUUGGUACUUGUACCAACUGGAUGAGCAGCGAACGGGUGAGUAACGCGUGGGGAAUCUGCCUUUGAGCGGGGGACAACAUUUGGAAACGAAUGCUAAUACCGCAUAAAAACUUUAAACACAAGUUUUAAGUUUGAAAGAUGCAAUUGCAUCACUCAAAGAUGAUUCCGCGUUGUAUUAGCUAGUUGGUGAGGUAAAGGCUCACCAAGGCGAUGAUACAUAGCCGACCUGAGAGGGUGAUCGGCCACAUUGGGACUGAGACACGGCCCAAACUCCUACGGGAGGCAGCAGUAGGGAAUCUUCGGCAAUGGACGAAAGUCUGACCGAGCAACGCCGCGUGAGUGAAGAAGGUUUUCGGAUCGUAAAACUCUGUUGGUAGAGAAGAACGUUGGUGAGAGUGGAAAGCUCAUCAAGUGACGGUAACUACCCAGAAAGGGACGGCUAACUACGUG
rnacentral:rRNA from 1 species